ACACUCCUACGGGAGGCAGCAGUGGGGAAUAUUGCACAAUGGGCGCAAGCCUGAUGCAGCCAUGCCGCGUGUAUGAAGAAGGCCUUCGGGUUGUAAAGUACUUUCAGCGGGGAGGAAGGCAAUACGGUUAAUAACCGUGUUGAUUGACGUUACCCGCAGAAGAAGCACCGGCUAACUCCGUGCCAGCAGCCGCGGUAAUACGGAGGGUGCAAGCGUUAAUCGGAAUUACUGGGCGUAAAGCGCACGCAGGCGGUCUGUCAAGUCGGAUGUGGAAUCCCCGGGCUCAACCUGGGAACUGCAUUCGAAACUGGCAGGCUUGAGUCUUGUAGAGGGGGGUAGAAUUCCAGGUGUAGCGGUGAAAUGCGUAGAGAUCUGGAGGAAUACCGGUGGCGAAGGCGGCCCCCUGAACAAAGACUGACGCUCAGGUGCGAAAGCGUGGGGAGCAAACAGGAUUAGAUACCCCGGUAGUCCCAUGAU
rnacentral:rRNA from 1 species